UGUGGCUAUAUAGCAUUGAAAACACCAGUUCCCUGUACGAUCACUGAAGUUAAGAAACGUCGUCUGACAUUGUUAGUACCUAGAUGGGUGACCUCUUGGAAAUACCAGGUAUUGUA